UGCCGAAGGUGGGGUCGGUAAUUGGGGUGAAGUCGUAACAAGGUAGCCGUAUCGGAAGGUGCGGCUGGAUCACCUCCUUUCUAGGGAA
rnacentral:rRNA from 2 species